rnacentral:lncRNA from 1 species
GCAGCGGGGCUGGGGGGCAGGAUCCAGUCUGCCUACUUCGCAGGGUUGUUGUGGAACAAUUCCUGCAAUUGCAACCCCCAGCCAGCUAAUGUUUCAUCUCCGAAUCGGGUCAGAAUCUCACAGAUUUCUCUUCUUUCUGCAGUAACGGACUCUGGGCAACCCAACUCCCGGCUUGGUUUGUUGCCUGUCUCCAGAUCCCGUUGAAAGAGCAAAGUGGAUCGUAGGCCCCAGGACUCCUGGGUCCCUCCUCUUUUGCUGCCCAUUCUUGCCCCUCCGGUCCCUUGUUGGAAGCCUCCUUCCCCUUCUUUUUUGGGGUCAGGGGUCUGCUUGGCUUCGCAUCCUGCAGAUUCACAGCUGUGAUUUUAAGGAGGGGGCCAGAUCUGUGGAUAGCAAAAGCCCCCCUUUCUAACAGUCCCUGCCCCUCCUCACUUGCGUGCUGUGAAAUGAUAGAAUUG